AUUGAACGCUGGCGGCAGGCCUAACACAUGCAAGUCGAGCGGAGCGGCGGACGGGUACGUAAUGCCUAGGAAUCUGCCUGGUAGCGGGGGAUAACGUCCGGAACCGGGCGCUAAUACCGCAUACUAUCAGAUGAGUCUAGGUCGGAUUGGCUAGUUGGUGGGGUAAAGGCCAACCAAGGCGACUAUCCGUAACUGCGCUGAGAGGAUGAUCAGUCACACGGGAACUGAGAAACGGUCCAGACCACUACGGGAGGCAGCAGUGGGGAAUAUUGGACAAUGGGCGAAAGCCGGAUCAAGCCAUGCGGCGUGUGGGAAGAAGGUCUUCGGAUUUUAAAGCACGUUAAGUUGGGAGGCGUUACCAACAGAAUAAGCACCGGCUAACUACGUGCCAGCAGCCGCGGUAAUUC
rnacentral:rRNA from 1 species